rnacentral:rRNA from 1 species
AACGUAGGAGACAAACGUUAUCCGGAGUUACUGGGCGUAAAGGGCGUGCAGGUGGUCUGUUAAGUCUGGCGUGAAAGCUCCUGGCUAAACCGGGAGAGGUCGUUGGAUACUGGCGGACUAGAGGACGGUAGAGGCGUGUGGAAUUCCGGGUGUAGUGGUGAAAUGCGUAGAGAUCCGGAGGAACACCAGUGGCGAAGGCGACUCGCUGGGCCGUACCUGACACUGAUGCGCGACAGCAUGGGGAGCAAACAGG